UCCCCAGCCCGGGUGAGUCGGGGGGUUGUUAGGGUGGGAAAUGCAUCCCGCUACACUACGUGUUUUGGGGCGGUUUUGGUAGAAAUGGCUAUAAAAGAAAAAAAUACACGUCUUCGGUGGGAAAAUGUCAUCCCAGCAAUGGGGUUGGUGGGGGCUGUGGGGGGGCUCAUCCAUCACCGAGCUCUGCGAGCCCAGCUCUGGCCAAACCCUGUCUCUGGGUGGUUCUUUGUGUGCUCUCCUGAUGCCUGGGGGGGGUGGGGUCUAAUCCCCCCAAGAUGAAGCCGUGGUUGUCCGGCUGUCCGUCCAUUCGUCCUGCCUCGAAAGCCACAGUGAGAGCGCCAGCGAGGCCAAAGGCUCCCGCAUGGUGCCACCGUCGUGGUUGCCACCGUCACACUGCUGGCAGGUGCCCCUUGCUGACGUCUGGCUUCCCCGCUGUGACUCACCGGCACAGAUGUAAUUUCUAAUUAAACGGUGCUGCUUUUCAGGGCCGCUUCUUUCUGUUUCUUUUGCAUUUUGAUUGGAGUGUCGGUCGGUUUUCCAGCAGUUUGCCGAUUCCCCCCCUCCCUGAAGAUCAGCCCGGAGAGAUGGGGAUGCAGAAACGCGUGCCGGCAGCGUCGAGCCGGGGAGCACCUCGGGUCCCAGCCGCUGGGGGAAAACUUGCAGAGAAUCUGUUAAGAAACAGCAAAAGAGAACAAAAAUAAUCCCCUAAGAAGCCUCUGCUCCCAGCAACGCUUCAAAAGCUGCUUCAUGCUCCGUCUCCAUCACACCUCCCCAGCAUCUCGGCUGGCGGGACCUGUCCAGCUGCAUCCCUAGGAGAAACCCCAUCGGAUGCCUACACUGCCAUGGACUUCAUCCUUGUGCCAAAAACCACGGCUUGAAAACUCCUUUCUGCACCAAAACAUGUUUGGGAAGCUUAGCACAGACACUGGGGAGAGCGCUGAGCCCCUGGGGUGAAGUCCCAGUCCUUGCCCGGGGUGAUAAUGAGGUUGGGAGGGAUUCUGGGGGGAGAUGCCCAAGGAUGACCAAACCACCAUUGUUUUUGAGAGGUGCUGGGUUUACAGAGUUGCUCACUUCAGAGGCUGGGAACAUGCUCAGGCCACGUGUGGAAGCUGGGCAACUUGGGGUCAACUUCUAGCAGGUAAAAAUUAUUUCCAUAAAAAAGGAACAUCAGCAUGAGUGGGACCCCUAAAAUGGAUCGCUUGGUUGGCAACGGGACGUAGGAGCAUGCCCGGAUGCUUUGGAAUUGGGAAGCUGAGCUAAAGGCCCUAUUGCAGUGACUUUUGUAUCCCAAUGGAAAACGUAUAUCCCAUCACGAGGAGCUGGAAAUUCAACGUAUACUGACUUGUACAGGUGGUGGAGCAAGGAGCCACCCCAGCUGGUGGCCCAAAUUAACCCCAAACCCAGGGCUGGGCUCAGCCCAGAUGCAGCCCACCUGGGGAGGGUGCUCUAAAAGGCUUCAAGGCACCCUACCAUCUCCCUGAAAGGGGGUUGAGCAAGAGGGUUUGAGGCUUUUUAUUUUAGCACGGGGAGUUUGUCUUUGUGCAAGCUGUGGUGCUGCGGAGUGGUGGAGUAACCCUGGAGAAGGGAUCUUCCCUAUGGGACCUGGGCUUUGGGGGUUUCUGGCCUCAUUUGCAAGCUUGCAGGGCUUGUGUUGAAGGAUGCAGUGAAGUAGGCAGGGAGCAGAUAGAGCAUAUAUCAGUGCUCUUAAUGGGUUUUUGCUUCAUUAGCAAAACGGCUGUUAAUCACCCCAGAAAGAGUAGUGGAGCCUGCUAGGGGCUGGUGCUGAUGGAUGCCCACCAGUGGUGGAAAGAUGAGAAAAAUACAAAAAUUCCCAUUUUUGGCUCUGGUAGAGUGAUAGAGAUGUUUUUCGGGGAGAAAUAGGCUCUGGUGCUGUGUGUGGGGCUGAAAACCCUGGGUGCUGCAUGGCUGCACCACUGCCCCGUUUCUGUUUCUCUUGGGUUUCAGUUUCCCUUGGGUUUCUGGGUUUUGGUGCCCUGGGAGAGCAGGGGAGGUGCUGGGAGGCUGGUGGGCAGCAGGCUGUGGGUCGGGGUGAAUAGAAGGCCUUUUUAUAUGUUGUUAUUAUGCAUUAUAUAGUCAGAGCUCGGCCUCCAAGAGCAUCUGUGGGGGUCAGGCACUAGGGCACCAGUUCUGCCAUCCUUAGCUACAAGUGGUUGUGUUUUUGGGAGUGGGUGCUUGUUUGCUGCUACACUUUAAUUAAGUGGAAAUCUGUAUUAAUGGUGAUGAAUUUAAAAAGUUUUAUUUGGCCACAGCAGCUGGUUUUGGGACUGGGGGCCUUCUGGGGCUGUGGCAAGACUUGGUCUUAGAGGAGCACCAGAAGUGGUCCAGGGCUGUUGGCAAAGUGGAUUUUUCCACCAGCUGCUCCAAACCUGCCCAAAUAAAUGCUGAAAACAAAACUAAACCUCUUCCCCAAGCGUUGGGAUCGGGUUUUCCAGCUUCCCUUGCACUUUCCUUUCCCUUCGAGGGAUGCAGCAUCAGCAGUGACGCUCUCUGAACAAAAUGCUGAUUUGCACCAAGCUGUGUCUUUUUUCCCCCCUCCCUUUGCUUGACAUCUCCUGCCAGGACGACCGCGCUGGAGCAGGGCUGUGCCGGGAGGUGUCCUUGGAGCAGUGGGCUCGGUCCUGUCCUCAGGGGGACCUCUGCGAGGAGAAUGCCAAGCAGAUGGGCUCGACCUGUGCCAAGGGGACCUUGGGCUAAUCUCAUUGCCGUGGGUUGCUUGCAGGAUUAGGCAAGCAACCUUGGGCUUCAUUUACAUUUUAAAAAGCUUUGCCAUGACCUUAGCUGUGUUUCUGGCUCUUGUCCUUUCUCCGUGGGCACCAGCUCUGCUUGAAGGUGCUCCAAAGUGGCUGGGCUGGGGAGAGGUCUAUAAAUAGGAAUAAUAAAAUGAGUGGGUUUAGGGAUGUGCUGGCUGUUUUGGAGACCCCAAGUGACUUUUUUUUUUUUUUUUGGGGGGGGGGGGGGGGUUGCAAGAGCCAUUCCAGCAUCCCAUGGGGCCAUCACUGGGAUGGCUUUGAGCUAAGGGUUUCUUGAUGCUCACCGAUAGCUUCCCCCAGGUUGCAUUUGUUUCCUUGCUUGUUGAAUAGAGAAGCACAAAUAAGUGCAAAUCCCCAGGGUGUGGGAAGUGUCUCACUUAAGCUUUUUUUUUUUUUUAAAAAAAAAAGAAGAAGAAAAAAAAAUCCCUUCUAACUCCUUGUAGUAUGGCAAGAAACGGGAAUCACCUCCCAUUGAAAUUCGGUGCAUUUGAGUGGUUUCUCUCCAAAGUGAAGCUGCUCCCUUGGGGCAGCCUCUACCACAUGCCACCAGCAUUUGCUUUCCUGACUUGGCUUUUAAAAGCAAUUGUGUGAUGAAAAGGGCAGUUCUCAGCCUGCUCAGUAACGUUGGAAAUAUUAAGGAUAAAAUUGGUUCCUGCUCCUUCCCAGCCGCCGGUGCCCAUCCCUGUGGUGUCUGAGCCAUCCCUUGGCUCCCGAGCAGAGCGCAGCGAUCCUCUGGUUAGCCAAAACAGAAAUUUCUAUCAAAGCUGGUUUCAAACUGGAUUUUUCCUUUUAUUUAACAGGAAUGGAAAAGCAAAAUUGCAGGGAGUUUCCAAAUGCAAAUCUCCUUUCAGUGGCAGUGGCUUGUUGAAAUGUUGCAGUGAAACAGCACUGGCAUCCUCCAGGCACAAAGAGCUCUUUGAAACUUGGAUAAAAGCAUGGAAAUUUGGGGGUUGCCAAGCAUUCUGUGGUUUUUGGGGCUGAUUUUAUUUUAUUUUUUUUUCCUGGAAAACUUUGCCUGUCUCUGCUCCAGGGUCCUGCUUAGCAGAGCAGGUGAAAAAAUCCUUUAAGCUUGGUAAUCACAGAAGAUGUAUCUGAGGGUUUUAUACCUUGGGGCUGGCUGAGGCCAGUGAUGGGAUGUACACGAAACAUUAGGAACCCCAAAUGUUUCUGCUGUUCAUUUGUUUCGGAUGGGUAGAUGAAUUCAGUCUGCUUUGUGCCUGCAGGCUUCCCAGCACAGCCUUAUAGGAGACAACAGAGAAUCUUCCCUGCCACAUGGCAGGGAUGGAUUUAAAAGCCAGGAAUAGCUUUAAAAAGCUCAACACCCCCCCCUCCCCCCCCCAUUUUUCCUUCUCCCCGUGCUGCCAACCUAUUCCACGGCAUCCCUGGCUGGGGCUGGGGGGGAUUUGGUGCGGGUUCCUCGUGGAGAGGCUGAGAUUUCUGCAGCGUUGGGUUUCCAUGACGACCUCCGCGCAGCAUCCUUGGGAGCCAGCACCCCGAGAUGCACCUACCUGGGAAAUCGGGGCAGCUGCAUCUUCACCGUGGCCAUUUCUUCCAUCACAGAGCUCCUGUGGGACAUCUCUCAGGAAAACAAGCCUGGAUGCAUCAGAGAGCUGGCAACACACAUCCACCAGAUAAUUAGAUUGAAAGAAAACCACCCCUCUGAAGACAAUGAGAUGAUAAAAGAGAUCAAGGUCCCUGGGAAAACUUAAUCCUUCCCUGUUUUCCAUUACUUCUCAGAGAAACGAAAAAGAGCAGCUGCUGGUGCCACCACUCAGUGGGGACUUCUUUAUCUUCCAGGAGGUCACCAUAUGGGGACAGCAGCAUGGGCAUGCACCUCACUGCAAGCAACGCUUUUCCAUUACCUUCCCAUUGACCUUUUCCAUUUCUUAUUCAUUUUUCAAUCUGAAUCCCUUCAAUACACCUGUUUGGGUUUAGAAAUCACACCAAGGCUGGUUGUGUCCUUCGGAAGGGAGGCUGAGGCAUCCCUUGCAGCGAGUUUUCGGCAGCUUCGUUUCCAAUCUCUGUGCAGGCAGCACAUGAAGGGCACCCUUCCAGAAGCAUUUCAUGCCCAAUCUCCUUAUUGCUGUCUUCAAACAUUGAUGUUGGAAUAGUUUUGAAGGUUGUUUCAUCACUGGCUUCGGGUGUAUUCUGGAGAACACCACUGCUAACAUGAUUCACCUGGGGCCAAUGAUACCUGUGGCAUUUGGACUUCUUCAACACGCAGAUAGGGCUCGUCUGUGAAGUCGCCUCCGUCUUUCAUGAUGGUCCUUGAGGUCCCACAGCCCAAAUUAAAAUAUCAUCUACUCUAACUCCAACACCUCCUAAUCCCUCAAAUAUCUGCCAAAUUGCUCUUUGAAAUACCUUGGGAGCAGAACUAAUUCCGGAUGGCAUUAGCUUAAAUUUGCAAUGUCCAGCUGGUGUAUUAAAAUCCGCUAGCUUUGAGCCCCAUUCAUCUAAUUUCACUGGCUUUAAUAGAUGUCUUGCCUUCAUGCUGAGAAUAUUUCUGCUUCUGAGAACAUUGCUAACUUUUCAUUAAGGGUUUCCAGUGGAUAAAGUCUCCAUUUGAAAGGCUUUAUUUAAACCAUAUAAAUCAAUCAGCAUCUAUGAUUUAUUUGGCUUUUUGAUUCGUACCCUUCUCAGUUAAUACACAACGUUUUACCCAGUCAGCUUGUCAAUGCAGCCUCGGGGGAUGAAAGACAACAGCAGGCUGAGUUGUUCAGUCCCAGUGCAGAAGGUAAUCCCAGUGCUAGCUGGGAAAACAAACUUGUUGUAAUCCCACCAGUUUUGGGUCAACUUCCCUGCCCAGAAGCAAUUUUGUCAGAAUGUAGACCAGUGUUUUAGUUUUUGUUUUCACCAUUUCCACCUCAUUUUGAAGUGAAAGGGACCACAUACAGUCAGUAAAAUCCCCUGGAGGAUGAGCAGUCUGAGGAGCAAUCCCUUGUCUUCAGUCCAAACGUCCCCCAAGGGACACCUUGCUCCAUAUUUUGGGACCUUUGGGGUUUGAGUCCCAAAACUUGAAAGCCCUCUAACCUCUAGGGUUUGAGCCAUCCAAGUCUGCCUCCUUAUCAAACCCUCUGUGUGAGGUGGGUCUGAGCUGGGCACAUCUUGGGGUUGGUGUGCAGCAAAGGACCAAAGGACCUGGUCAAUGUUGGGGUUCACCCAGACCAUGGGGAAUGGGAUGUGGUCUCCUCAAAAGAGACUUUAUCUCACCAAAAAGUGCAUAUCAAACCUUGAACGUACAUGCUCCUCUGAGAAAUGAAAAGGAUCCCCCAUUUAUGUGGUACCCAGAGGGAUUCAUCUUCUCCAAGCAUCAGCCAGGCACAUGUAUCCAGCAUGCUGGGGCUGAAAUGAGCUAACAGGAGGGGAGGAAGCUCAAAAAGAGAGAGAGAGAGAAAAAAAAAAAAAAUGGAGAAAAAGUCCUCGAGGGUCUCUAACCUGGCGUGUGUAAAAGAGGAGCUGAGCUGCGAUCCACACACAGCUCUCCUUUGGCUCUGUGGGCGAGGGGGAGGAAAAGGAGCUGGGCUGGAAGCACAGAGGCUGCCAGACGGGGAAGCGAGCUGCUGGGAAGGAAAGCAGGGGGAGAUGCUCACAGAGCACGAGCGCCUUUGCAGCGUGCGAAGGAGAGGAAAAUGCUCCUGCGCAAGGCAGGACUUUAAAACUGGGUUUUAGCUGGGUGGAGGGGAGAGAGCAGAGCAUCUGCACUGGGCAUCCUGAUUUUAAUUUUAAUCCCAUUCCUCCACUGCUGCAUCCUCACCCUGCCCACGGACCCUGCUGCCUCGGUGCACACGAUGUCCAAGGCAGAUGCUGCUGCUGCUGCUUUGCUUCAUUAUUUGCUUUUGUGCUCAGGCAGAGAUCUCUGCUUCCCCUGUGGCAGGAUAUUAACUGGGUUUGAUUUCAAGGAACAAAUCCCCCCCGUCCUUCGGGUUCGGCUCUUGUACUCAGGCCAGAUGAUUUCCAGGCUGGCAUCCAGCAGGAAGGGUUGGAGGCCACACGGCAGCUGCUCAGAUGGUGGGGCUGGAGCUGCCAGCAAUUCUCUGCCGUGACCAAAAUGAUCUCUAAUAAAUGCAUCGGGGAUUUCUCAGGCUUUUCCUUUCCCCCUUUCCCUCCGUGCCCUUGGAGCUUGGGCAAACCGUGACAUGGUGGGGACAGCGUGGUGGCUAGAGGUGAGCAGUGCUGUGCCUGCAUGGGAUGGAUGAAUUUAAUGGAUUUAUUUCCUUCCCUUCUCUCUGGCCCCUUCACUGCUGUGUCACUGCUGUCUGUGCUUUUCUGGUGCGUGGCCGAGCCAGUUCAACUCACCGAGCUGGCAGAAAACAACUCCUCCCUGCACUCGGGUGGCUCUGGAGACAGGGAGUCCCUGCAGAGGCAGGGCUUCUCUGUGCGUCCUCUUCCAGAUUUAUUUUGGGAUGCGCAGGAAAUCUCCCAAAGGAAAACAUUACCAGGAGAGCCUCUGUGUUGUUGCUGCUGCAGGGGAUUUCUUGCAAAACAUGCAGAUUUAUUUAACUGCAAAAUUUGCUAGAAGCAUGUUCAUACCAAAA